CUUGGGGGGGGGUCCCCUCAGCCCAGAUUGCAAGAGGGCUCAGACCAGGCCGAGGGACCCCACCAGUGCAUA
rnacentral:pre_miRNA from 1 species